GGGGCCAGCUCUUCUGACUGCCUCAGGUGGUGAGAGGCAAGGUGGAGGAUGGACAGAAGGCACCCAUGCCACCUCACUGGAGUGCAAUGGAGAAGACAGCACUGGUGCUCUCAACCUGCCGCAGCUCCCUUGCACCCCUUCCACCAGGCCCAGCUCUACUGUGCUGCCCAGGUGAGGUGCAGGGACAGCUCUCCAGAGCUAAUGAUCCUGUGGAAAGCUUUCCCAGUUGCUGGAGGUGGUGAGGGACGGGGUGAGGGCAUAACUUCUGCACCUAUGCCUCCCUCCCCAUGGCAGAUGAGUGGGCAGGGUCAGCUCUCCUACACUCAUGCCCAUGACCAGCUCACC
rnacentral:lncRNA from 1 species